GCCAGUGUGGUAUAGUGGUUUGAUUGUUGGACUAUAAAUCAAGAGACCAGGGUUUGAAUCUUUGCUUGGCCA